AAGCAAACAACCGCAAAAAAGCCAUCAGCUAAAAAUAAAACUGCAACUUCCCGAGUGAAUCCAUGGUAAAAUAGUGAUAAAUCUGUGUGUCCAGUGCUUGUUUUAUUGUUCAUUUUAUUUGGCUUGCAAGAAAAGUUAUAGUUUUGAGUUUCUUUUGCCGUUAUUUCGCAUCGCGGAACUGGUUUGCACUUUGUAUCUUUUUAUCGUUGCACUUGUAUGGAUAUAAAGUGAAUAUGGGCCCUGCCGUUUAAACGCCGCCAUAAACACCAAAUAACAAAUUUUCUGGCCACAUUUUGUUUGUCAAGCAAACAUGGCAUGUCAAGGUCCUAUUAAACGUGGAAAAUCAGCCCAGAAAGUCGACACGCCAACUUUUUUCGACUGUCCCCAAAGUGAAGUGUGUCUGUCUGUGUAUGCAUGCCAUUGACAUUGACUUAUGGCCGUGAGGGGGUUAAGUGGGCUGAGGAGGGUUAAGGGGGGAGCUGAGGGGGCCACGACCCUUUGACAAAAAUUUGGAUUCUCUCAUUUCUUUUUCCUCUUUCGCCCUCCACGCACAUUUAUGGUUUGUUUUGCUCACACAUACACACAGCCAAAAGCCUACGCAGCGGUAGAAAGAGAAGGUCUGAGCGGUCGAGAAAGAGACGGGACGAGACUGGGAUGAUAAACGCCUCUUGCCUUUUUGGCGGGUCCAUGAAUGAAACAAUUGCCCCGAAUGACUGACUGCCAGACAGAUAGCUACAAACUGCCCAUUCCGGGGGGUAAAAUUGGGGCUGAAAGCCCGGAAACCCGGCAGCAAUAAACACGGUGCUACGACAAAAGUCUGAUGAGACAGACCAUCAUGGGCUUCAUCAUCGUCGGCGAUAAUAAUGAUUUUCAUUUGCACAUUCCACCCAUUUCGUUGCCGGCUUCCAGCCUCAGUUUGCAUUCAGUGGGGCAGGUUAUUUAUGGCAUUUCUCCCAUCGCCACUCACUGGGGUAAUCGAUUUUUAUUGGAUUAAUAUUGCUUUCCGCCUGAUUUGGCCUUCUCUUCGCUAUCAUUUACCAGGUUACUCGCUGAGGACUGAACCAAGUCAACUGGAAGUGCUGAAGCAAGGACAUGCAUAUAGCGGGCAUAAGGACACGUCUUAUGUGACAAGUGCUGGAUAAACGUCUGAGGUUAUCGCAUUUAUUUUCGAUUCUAAGGCCCAUCCCCGCCGGAAACUCCGGACAGCAGCAACCACCGAAUAGGACGCCCGGAAGUGAGGAAAACGCUUGUAAAAUUGGGCGCACGAGUGCGAGCGAGACACGAGCGAACGGGCCGAAAGGAAACGACAAUUACGAGGACAUGCCGGCUUGCCUUUCUGCUGUUCCUGUCUGCUCCUUUCAGUUGCGGCCGUGCAAUCGUCGGGUCAACAACGCCACGCGUCCGAUACGGAUCUACGAAAUAAUAUAUCUUCCACUCUGGAUCUAGCUUCAUCUGCAUCUGCAACUGCAUUGUCACAUUCGGAUUAUGGUGAUUCUGUGCGACCUCGUAAACGUAUACUGAAUGUAUCCUGAGUGUAUCCUAUCCGGUAUACCUUCAGUAUACGUAACACGAGGAAGCACGAGCAACGCGGGAUGUGAAACACUUUACUUCAAAAAUAUAUGAAA